rnacentral:misc_RNA from 1 species
CUCAUGAUUUUCCAUGUUCAUACUCACGCCAGCUCCAUCUUUGUGAAUUGGGUUAACGCCAGAUGUAUCCUCAGCAGGUAUCCCUCUGGAGAAUAUUUCAGAAAGGAAAUCACGGGGGAAUCUGUCAUUAAUAUCUAUACUGAUGUCCGCCUGCUUUGCUGCCGGAACACCAGUAAGGGUUAUACCUUUUGAGACAUCUUUAGUUGAGCUCUGUGUCCCAGAAAAUGGCUGAGAAGGUCCAAGAUUGUUUUUACCAGUGAAAUCCUUGCCAGUUGUCUCAACCUUUUUAGGCUCUGAAAGAUUAGAUGCAGGAUCCUUCCGAGGCAUGACAGCAGUUACUUGCCGCACAGCAAGAUGUCCAGAUCCAGCUUCUCCCAUUUCCUCAAUCAAGUGUUUCUUAUUUAUACCUGUAGUGUAAUCUUUAUCAUAGUUGGCCUUAAGAACACCAUCCCUGUCCAACACAUCUUCAGAAUCAGAAAAUUUUUUGUUCAUCUGAGACACUGCAUCAGCGAACUCCUUGUACUUUUGAAGUUGAGCAAGUCCAUCAUUGAUGGUUUGAGUGUCUGCAUAUGA